AGUGAUGCCAUCAAUCCCGGAUCAACUGCAGCCGCAAUGUUCAAGUUAAGUACAUAACAUGUGUCUUCUGGGGUUAAAAUGGUAACAUCUCGCAGAUAUGGAUUGGGACUAACUUGUCAUAGCCACGAUAGAAAGUAAAUGAAUUGAGUGUGUUUUGUUGACAUACCGAGGGAUGUUUCUGGUAGAUAUUCGGACGUACAUUUUGUAAAUGGAGGCUCCUUUUGCAGUCAAGGCUUCAGUCCGUUUCCGUGGUGUACAUGCCUGGUGUGUGGCUGAUUUUUGUUUCUGUUGGUUUCUGUGGCUGUGUUGCCGGGAGUGUAUUUGGUCAGUUAUUGUACGUAAAUUCUGUUGUUUACAAAACAGGGUCUUCCCUGGUUCACCAUCUGUUGUAAUUUCUGUUUUAUGUCAUGGUCAGUGGUUGUCGGGAACCUAGACCAUUACAUAAUCUGCUUUGUGUUGCUCUCUUGGGUCCCGAACCAAGAGAACAACACAGGCCAGAAAGGACGACAGUUGGUUGAAGAACCUAUUUGAUAUAAGUAGUUAAUUCCUGUAGAAAUACUCGACCUCUCGGCGUAGACACAGUCACAGAAACCGAAUCAGCCAUUCAUCGGGCUUGUAUACCGCAGAAACAGACUGAAACAGCCAUAGCUCUCGAAAUUUAAACUGAAACAAACGUCAACAUUACUUGGGAUUUCAUUGAAGCACACUCAAUCGUUACUACACAUAAAUUCAUCCCACUGUUUCCAUGUUAAAUGUAGAACGGAAAUUUUAAUCACAAACCAAGUUAACUUUCUGUGCUUUCACUUAAGUCUAAGGUAUAUUUCUGAGCCGAAAUAAUUCAUUUUCGUUUUGUCUUUUCUACCGAGGAUCAUCGCACCGUAAGAAGAAAUGUCCGGACGUGGAAAGGGAGGCCUGACGAAGGAAUGUACCGGACGUGACUGAAUGGAGAUUCACAGUCUUCUGACACAUAUGACAAGGUACAACAAGUCUGGAAUUAAACAUCUCUCAGCAGCUUCCAGUGUCUUAUCGAUGCCAACUGCAGAUGCAAGGCUCAUGUCUGGACUUAUCCUGGUGAGAGGCUGCCUGGUGCCUUCUCCACGGUGACGUCCAGAGAGAUGUUCUCAGGACUUCAGCCCGCUUCUGUGUUGUACAGGCCCGAUGUGUGACUGAUUUGGUUUCUGUGGCUGUGUCGAUGGCCCUGAUCGUAUUCAACCAGUUACUGUUAAUUCUGUUCUUUAUAAAACAGGAACGUUCCUGGUUAAUCAUUAUCUGUUUUCAUUUCUGUUUUAUUUUCAUCUGCCUUAACCUUAAGAACGUAAAAUUUUUCUAUGAUUCUUCACAUACAAAGGCUCCAAGCUACCACUAUACCAUGUACUGGCAAUGUCGACAUUUACUGAUUCUAGGCUCUGUUGGCUACUGUGUUCUAGAGUAUGGAUGAUUGUUUUAGCGCUAGAGCAUUUUUUUAUUGUGGCUUUGAGAGUUGUACAUAUUUGUACACUUUGCAUCUAUUGAUUUUAAAUAAACAGUUUAAAAUCA